rnacentral:rRNA from 1 species
UGUGAGUUAGUUCAGAGUUUUGCUCCUGGCUCAGGACGAACGCUGGGCGGCGUGCUUAACACAUGCAAGUCGAGCGGGGACAUGGAGGAGCUUGCUCUGAGAUGUUCUAGCGGCGGACGGUGAGUAACGCGUGAGUAACCUGCCUGUAAGAGGGGGAUAACACAGAGAAAUUUGUGCUAAUACCGCAUAUUGAGUGAAAUUCGCAUGUUUUUCACUUGAAAGAUUUAUCGCUUACAGAUGGACUCGCGUCUGAUUAGCUAGUUGGUGAGGUAACGGCUCACCAAGGCGACGAUCAGUAGCCGAACUGAGAGGUUGAUCGGCCACAUUGGGACUGAGACACGGCCCAG